UGAAACUCAUGAGUGCUUAGGUUACAAGCAU
rnacentral:piRNA from 1 species